GAUGAAGAACGCAGCGAAAUGCGAUAAGUAAUGUGAAUUGCAGAAUUCAGUGAAUCAUCGAAUCUUUGAACGCACAUUGCGCCCGCCAGUAUUCUGGCGGGCAUGCCUGUUCGAGCGUCAUUUCAACCAUCAAGCCCCCGGCUUGUGUUGGGGACCUGCGGCUGCCGCAGGCCCUGAAAAGCAGUGGCGGGCUCGCUAUCACACCGAGUGCAGUAGUUUACUCUUCGCUCAGGACGUGUAGCGGGUUCCGGCCGUGAAACCCCCCAAUUUUCAAGGUUGACCUCGGAUCAGGUAGGAAUACCCGCUGAACUUAAGCAUAUCAAUAAGCGGAGGA
rnacentral:misc_RNA from 1 species